GACGAACGCUGGCGGCGUGCCUAAUACAUGCCAGUAGAACGCUGAAGGAGGAGCUUGCUCUUCUGGAUGAGUUGCGGACGGGUGAGUAACGCGUAGGUAACCUGCCUGGUAGCGGGGGAUAACUAUUGGAAACGAUAGCUAAUACCGCAUAACAGUAGAUGUUGCAUGACAUUUGCUUAAAAGGUGCAAUUGCACCACUACCAGAUGGACCUGCGUUGUAUUAGCUAGUUGGUGGGGUAACGGCUCACCAAGGCGACGAUACAUAGCCGACCUGAGAGGGUGAUCGGCCACACUGGGACUGAGACACGGCCCAGACUCCUACGGGAGGCAGCAGUAGGGAAUCUUCGGCAAUGGACGGAAGUCUGACCGAGCAACGCCGCGUGAGUGAAGAAGGUUUUCGGAUCGUAAAGCUCUGUUGUAAGAGAAGAACGAGUGUGAGAGUGGAAAGUUCACACUGUGACGGUAUCUUACCAGAAAGGGACGGCUAACUACGUG
rnacentral:rRNA from 1 species